rnacentral:rRNA from 1 species
ACCGGCGAACGGGUGCGUAACGCGUAUGCAAUCUGCCUUGUACAGGAGGAUAGCCCGGAGAAAUUCGGAUUAAUACUCCAUAGCACUAUCGAAUCGCAUGAUUUGAUAUUUAAAACUUCGGUGGUACAAGAUGAGCAUGCGUCCUAUUAGCUAGUUGGUGAGGUAACUGCUCACCAAGGCGACGAUAGGUAGGGGGUCUGAGAGGAUUAUCCCCCACACUGGUACUGAGACACGGACCAGACUCCUACGGGAGGCAGCAGUGAGGAAUAUUGGUCAAUGGACGCAAGUCUGAGCCAGCCAUGCCGCGUGCAGGAAGAAUGCCCUAUGGGUUGUAAACUGCUUUUAUUUGGGAAGAAACCUCCUUACGUGUAGGGAGCUGACGGUACCAAACGAAUAAGCACCGGCUAACUCCGUGCCAGCAGCCGCGGUAAUACGGAGGGUGCAAGCGUUAUCCGGAAUCAUUGGGUUUAAAGGGUCCGCAGGCGGGCUUAUAAGUCAGUGGUGAAAUCUCUCGGCUCAACCGAGAAACUGCCAUUGAUACUGUAGGU